UACAGAGGUCUCAAGCGUUGUUCGGAUUCAUUGGGCGUAAAGGGUGCGUAGGUGGCGCCGUAAGUCAGGUGUGAAAUUUCGGAGCUUAACUCCGAAACUGCAUUUGAUACUGCGGUGCUUGAGGACUGGAGAGGAGACUGGAAUUUACGGUGUAGCAGUGAAAUGCGUAGAGAUCGUAAGGAAGACCAGUGGCGAAGGCGGGUCUCUGGACAGUUCCAGACACUGAGGCACGAAGGCCAGGGGAGCAAACGGG
rnacentral:rRNA from 1 species